rnacentral:rRNA from 1 species
CGCCAGGGUAUUACGAGCCUCAGCUUAAAACCCAAAGGACUUGAGGGUGUCCCACCCAUCUAGAGGAGCCUGUUCUAUAAUCGAUACCCCCCGCUAUACCCUACCACUUUUAGCCUAUCAGCCUGUAUACCUCCGUCGUAAGUUUACCGUGUGAACGUCUAUAGUGAGCUAAAUGACUUUUCGCCAAUACGUCAGGUCAAGGUGCAGCCCAUGAAGUGGCAAGCAAUGGGCUACAAUUUCUAACCUAGAACAAACGGAUGAACUGUAAUGAAACAGUUUAGAAGGAGGAUUUAGUAGUAAAAAGAAAACAUAAGUGUUCUUUUUAAUUUGGCACUGGGAC